UACGCGGCCUGGGACGAUGACGACUUCACCAAGGGGAAGCACUGCGCCGUGCUGGAGGAGUCCUCGGGUUUCCUGUCCUGGGACGACGACGGGUGCAGCGAGCGCAACCCCUUCGUCUGCAAGUG